rnacentral:sRNA from 1 species
CGGAGGAAAGAAACUAACAAGGAUUCCCCUCAGUAACUGCGUAGUGAAGCGGGAAAAGCUCAAAUUUAAAAUCUGGUGGUCUUUGGCUACCCGAGUUGUAAUCUAGACAAGCAUUAUCCGCACUGGACCAUGUAUAAAUCUCCUGGAAUGGAGUGUCAUAGAGGGUGAGAAUCCCGUCUUUGACAUGGACUACCAGAGCUUUGUGAUAUGCUCUCAAAGAGUCGAGUUGUUUGGGAAUGCAGCUCUAAAUGGGUGGUAAGUUCCAUCUAAAGCUAAAUAUUGGCAAGAGACCGAUAGCGAACAAGUACCGUGAGGGAAAGAUGAAAAGCAACUUUGGAAAGAGAGUUAAACAGUACGUGAAAUUGUUGAAAGGGAAACGCUUGAAGUCAGUCAUAUUGGCUGGGGAUCAACCUUGCAGUAAUGCUUGGUGUACUUCCUGGUUAAUAGGUCAGCAUCAAUUUUGACCAAUGGAAAAAGUUUAAGGGAAUGUGGCAUCUUCGGAUGUGUUAUAGCCCUUGGCCAUAUACAUCGAUUGGGAUUGAGGAACUCAGCAUGCCGCAAGGCCAGGUUUU